rnacentral:rRNA from 1 species
GACGAACCGUCCUAACGUUGUUCGGAAUCACUGGGCUUAAAGGGCGCGUAGGCGGCUUGUCAAGUCAGGGGUGAAAUCCUGCAGCUUAACUGUAGAAGGGCCUUUGAUACUGGCGAGCUCGAGGGAGGUAGGGGUAUGUGGAACUUCCGGUGGAGCGGUGAAAUGCGUUGAUAUCGGAAGGAACGCCGGUGGCGAAAGCGACGUACUGGACCUCUUCUGACGCUGAGGCGCGAAAGCUAGGGGAGCAAACAGG